GACGAACGCUGGCGGCGUGCUUAACACAUGCAAGUCGAGCGGAGCGGCGAACGGGCGAGUAACGCGUGAGUAACUGCCCCCCUCUCUGGGAUAACAGUUGGAAACGGCUGCUAAUACCGGAUAGUGGGGGAUGACUCGGGGCCUAUCAGCUUGUUGGUGGGGUAGUGGCCUACCAAGGCGACGACGGGUAGCCGGCCUGAGAGGGCGACCGGCCACAUUGGUCUGCGGUACGGACCAGUGGCCUACGGGGGGCAGCGGGGGGGAGUAUUGCGCAGUGAGGGAAACCCUGAUGCAGCAGCGCCGCGUGCGGGAUGACGGCCUUCGGGUUGUAAACCGCUUUCAGCCAUGACGCGGUAGUGGCAGAAGAAGCACCGGCUAACUACGUGCCAGCAGCCGCGGUAAUUC
rnacentral:rRNA from 1 species